AUUAGUCCUCUCGGUAUAAGUC
rnacentral:snRNA from 1 species